UGACCUCAAAUCAGGUAAAAACACC
rnacentral:rRNA from 1 species